UUUUUAUACAAUACACCAUGAACCUAUUUCUAUGUCAUUAAAUAUUCUCCUAUAUUAUAUUUAGAGAAUGUUUAGUUUUUGUGAUAUGGUGUUUCCAACAUUACAUCCAAUCUCUAUGUGGUUGGAAGUUCAGAUGUUUCAGGUACUUUGCAGUUAACAAUUACAGUAAUAAUUAUCAUCAUCCAACAUUGCAAACAUAAUUUAUUGAGGUGAAAUUCACAUUUUGAAACUGUCAACUCUGUCUAGGUCCAAGAUUCUGUAACUCCCAUAGUAAAAAUGCCUACCCAUUCAGGGGCAUUUCUCUUUCUGGCCCCAGCCUAUCUCUCUAUUAUUAUUUCCGCUCCCCUCGGAAUUAUACUCUAAGGUCUUAUCAGGACCUAUACUGGCCCAGCAAAUUCCUGUCCUAUCACCAUUGUCAGUUGUUUCACUACUCCAUUUCUGUCCAUCCAUUAUUCAUGGCCAAGUCAAUUUCUACCUACUUUGUGAAAACUUCUCUUACUGGCUAAGCCUGAAUGGUCUCUCUCUUGAAAACUCUUAGCACACAUGACUGUGCUGUUCACUUGGCCCAUUUUUCAUCUUAUCUUGUAAUGCCAGUUCAGUAGCAUGUGUUGCCCAGAAAUUAUAUUGCUAACAGCUUCUGUUUUUCUUGCAUGGCAUCUUAUCUAUUUUAUUUCCCCUGAUGAUUAUCUUAGUAAAUAGCAUAAUAGAAAUGCACCAUAAAUUUUUGUCAAAAACAAAAUUCAAUUUUUGUCCUCAUAGACUGUAGCAUAGUGCUUGGCACACAGGAAAGUCCCCAACAAAUAUGUGCUGUUUGAGUUUUAAACAUAUUUAUACUUUCAUCUAAUUCUCUUGCAGUCUCAAAUUCUUCAUAACUAACAACUUUAAAAAGGACUUGUAUUAUUUUUUGUAUGACCUUAUUUAUGAUAUUCCUGUUCAUGUGUGGAUACUGAGAUUUACUGAACAAGGUGAUGUUUAGCAUAGGCAAAUGCUUCUCUUCUUCUUCUUCUUCUUCUUUUUUUUUUUUUUUGACAGAGUUUUGCUCUUGUUGCCCAGGCUGGAGAGCAAUGGUGUGAUCUCGGCUCACUGCAACCUCCCUGUCCCGGGUUCUAGUGAUUCCCAUGCCUCAGCUUCCCAAACAGCUAGGAUUACAGGCACAUGCUAUCAUGCCCAGCUAAUUUUUGUGUUUUUAGUAGAGACGGGGUUUCACCAGGUUGGCCAGGCUAGACUCAAACUCCUGACCUCAGGUGAUCCACCCGCAUCGGCCUCCCAAAUUGUUGGGAUUACAGACUUUAGCCACUGCUCCCGACCUUUUCUUUUUUAAAGUAAGUGUUUGACCUAAUUUGUUUUCAGCCUUCAUCUUUGAUGAAUUUGAAUGCUUGAUGUUUGUUUGCACACACCAAAUUCCAAAGGUAGGAUUCUAGAAUUUAAUAUUAUGUUUUGCUUUGCUUUUCAUAAUGGUACUAGUGGCUAAUAACUUCAGAGAACAUUCCUCAGUGACCUUUGAGUUCUUUUUUUGCUAUUAUUUCUGAUAGCUAUGAGCAUAUUUUACUAGAAAUAUAAAUUGUAUGAUUUAUCCCUAAGUGUAUUUGCCCUGCACUUGUGUCCAUAUCGAUUGGCCUCAGUAAGUAGAAUGCAUGUUUCCAUAGGAACUAGAAUAAUAACUUGAUGUUACUGUGCCUAGAGUUUCAUUGUUCCAUGAGAACAUUUGCAAAGCAAAAGAAUAUGAAUUUAUAUGCUAAGUAAUCUAUCAAUUUUUGCUUUUUAAAAAUGUCUUUUCGAAAAACUGUACUUUACUCCAAGAAAACCAAUUUCUCUUCAUUAUUUUUGAGGAAGAAUUGUUAGUAGGAAUUAUUGGAUUUUUCACCUCUCAUUCCUCUAUUAUAUGUCUAUGAAAACUUAAUGAAAAAGAUGCAGUGAAGGCAAGAUUCGGUGUUAAAUCUCUCCAAGUGUAUGUACCUACAUAUUUUGUACAGACUUCUUUACAGCAUAAGGCUACUAUUUAUUUUUAUUGUUCUUGAAAUCAGUGAAUAUGUUGGGUUUAAUUUUAUUGACACUACUUUUAAAAACAAUUCAGACUGAUUUCCAAAGACACAUCUUUUUCAUCAGAGAGGACUAAACUAUGCAAAGUGGAAUCUUUUGAAGAAUGCUUAUUACCAGAGUAGUAACAAGGAAUUUUGCUCAAGCAUUUCCUAUAGUGAUUGCAAACUGGCUCACUUCCCAGCUCUUAACAAUUUCAGCAUGGGUUUUUCUUGAUUGACCAUCAGUCUUCAGUGUCUCUGAACAUACACAUUACACACACACAUACACACUGACAACAUACACAUAAACAUACUUGGCCAGAGAUAAGAUAAACAAACAAAAGACUUAUUGAACUCGAGGAAUAGCUUACACAGAGCAAUUUAAUCUUUUUGCAAAAAUAAGAUCCCAAUUCUGUUAUGCUGUUUUGGAAUAUGUAAAGCCUAUAAAUGCUGACUUUUAAUUUUCAGAAAGCAAAGUCAACUUCCUAGUCGUUCAGAUAUUCAGGGUCUAUUGACUAAUUUCACCCGAUUCUAAAACUAAUCUGUGGCUGCCUCUUCCAGGUUUCUGAGUUGUUGGCUUAUUUAUUAAUUAACUCCAUCAUCUACUUUUGGAUAUCAUCUACUUCCUGGCCUCACCCAUAGUACAUUGGCAGUUCUAAAUAUAUACUUAUUUGCUUUAUUAUUUUCUCUCUUCCCAAUUACAGAAUGAUGUCAGGAGGGAAUUUAUAGAUAGUGCUAAAAUUAUGAUAUUGAAGCCUCUAUCCAAUUGAGGAGCAGGUAUAGUGAGAAUGAGGGGUUGAAAGAGGCAGAAAGAUAAACGAUUGCAGCUAGAUUACAUUGGAAGAUUUUGAGUGUCCAGAAGUUCUUAGAACAAUUUUUAGGGUGAGACUAUGGGUGUAAGAGGCCAAUGUCAAGUGGAGGUGAAGUGAGGGUUAUUAGAUUUGAGUAUGCACCAUGUGUGAAGCUUCAUUAGGCAGUGGGUAUAUAAGUCUCAGUUCAUGCCUUCAAGUGCCCCAGACUUGUCUAUAAAACAAAAUUCAAUGUUCAUAACUCACCACAGUAUUUUUCUCAUUCUAACUUGAUUCUCCAGUAAUGCUCUUUAGUAACCUCCUACCUCUGCCACAUUCUUCUCUGUAAAUCCUGCUUAGGUCUGCUCUAUGCCUUUCUUUUUCUCUGUCUAUAUCCCAUCCAUCCUGUAAGCCUCAACUCCUAGAAGUCAUUUGUAAUCACCUCUUUCUGCACUGCCCCCAUCCCCUGUUGUGUUACCUGUCUCCUCUAAACAUGCAGAGAGUUGUGCGUGUCUCCUUUUGCCUGUGCUUCCACUGUAUUUUAUUCUUUGUCUCACAGAUCUUAUUUUUCCAACUAGAUUUAAACACCUUGAGUACAUAAUAGUUUCUCAUAUGUCUUUGUAAUAUGUCUCAAUGAAAUAUGUUAAGGAAGACAUGGGGAAAACAUUUGAUCAUGGAAAAUUAGAUGAGAAUUUUUCUCAUGUAUAGCUGCUAAAUAAAAACCAAACACAUAGUUUGAAAUGGUGUAUGAUGCUGAUGUAGCCAAUUGAGAAAUUAACCAUUUGACUGCUUUGUAUAUAAAAUGAUGGUGGUGCCUGUUAUUUCAGUAUGAAGCCAAUGGAGAGAGAUACAUUAGAUGUCUAAAUGGUCUAGUUAAGGUAUUCAAGGUUAAACCUUUUUUUUUUUUUUAAAUCUGAAAUAUCAGCAAUAUAGCUUCUAAAUUUUUAUGGCUGGUUUUCUAUAUCACUUUUAUCUCGUGAAAUUUCAGAGCGAUUAAUCUAUAGUAAACAUCAUCAUCUGACAUGGCUGAAAACAGUACUUUUUGUUCAUUUUAAUUUUUGAAUAAUGUAAAAUUACUGAUGUUAAAAAAAUUAUAUUCAAAGAAUACUGAGUGCAAGGUGACCUUUCUAGGUUAAAAAAUGUCUUAUAAGCCUGAAUUGUCAAUUAUUACUGUAUUCUAGAUGUAUGGAAGUUAAUGGAUAGUUCUAGUCAGUUAGAUACAGGUUUAGCAGGACUGUUGUAAUAGGUAAUCUGGAGAGUAGCCAGGUAAGUGGAAUUUGGGGUUUGCUGCUGUUGCCAGAAAGCAGCACAGAGAGAUGGUAAGUGACAAGACCCAGAUAACUAAAACAACCAUGCCUUAGUCCUUAUAUGCUGCUAUAACAGAAUACCACAGACUGAGUAAAUUAUUGUGAACAGAAGUUUAUUUGACUUCUGGUUCUGGAGACUGGCAAAUCUAAGAGCAUAGCAUUGACAUAUGGUGAGGAUAUUUGUGCCUCAUCAUCCUGUGACAAAAGGUGGAAGUUCAAGAGAGCUCAAAAGCAAGACAGCAAGAUGGGAAUCAAACUUGCUUUUUGUAACAACCCAUUCUUGUGAUAAUGAACGAACCCAAAUGAUAAAUACCUAAAUCCAUUCAUGAGGGCAGAGCCCUCAAGGAUGAAUCACUUCACUUCUUAAUGGCCUCACUUUUUAAUAUAUCACAAUAGUAAUAAAAUUUUAACAUGAGUUUUGUAGGGACAUUGGAAGCACAGCAAACUGUAGCCAUUUUGAUUUCCUUAUUUGCACCAUUUAAAAAAAAGCAAUUGAUUCAGCUGAUGUUUAUCCAGGGCCUAUUAUGUUGUGUUGGAGGCUAGUGGUAAUUACAAAGGGAGUAAGACAAACACAGUCACCCACUCUGGUGAUGCUUACAUUAUCUUCAUAAUGUAUUUGAUCCUGUGAUUCUUUGGCACAUGAGUCCCUUGCAUUUUGCCUAUUAGUGUCUAGUAAGUUUUUCCUGACUGAUUGAUAAUAUAGAUAUACUUUGGUAGAAGUUUUGUGUAUAUUUUCAUAGUUAGAUAUAGUUUGCAGGUGUGACUUGUGUUUCAGGAAAAUACAGAAAAUGUUUAAAGACAGGAAGAUAUUACCCUGAUUUUUCAGUUCAUUAAAGAAUAACUAUUUGAGGGAAAAUCCUGAUACAAUUAUUUGAGCAUGUGUAUUAAAGAUUAGACCUAUAAACAAUUCAGGAGCAACUUCCAGCAAACUAUGUGAGAAUUCACAGAAAUAAACCUGGUAGGUUUGUGCUAUGUUAUUCACAUGGGCUGUUAACUGUGUUCCAUUCCUAGGUUCUUUAUUUCCCUGCCCUCCUCAAUCGCAGCCUCUUGGGAUUUAAACUAUAUUACUUCUAUCUUCAAAAUGAUUCAUUUUUGGGUACCAAACUAUCCCUCAGCUUACCUACACCCUCUCACUCAAACUCACAUUCUCUCUUUUGGCUUUCUGUAUGGAAGGGAACAUUUAGAAUAUCAAUUCUUUGCAAUGCAAAAACGACAACACACUGAUGAUGAAGGGAGGUAUUUUUAGGAGAAAAAGUAGCUUUUCUUUUCAUUAUGAUGUCACUUUUGAGAUUUUAUAGAAAGAACAGGUAUUAAACUCAGACCAUAGGGUUCUCUGAGGUAUACUCUGGACACCCUUAGAAGUCAGCUAGAAUAUGCCUUCUGUUUAAGGUCAGAGUCUACAUUUAAAAAGAAAGAACUGGAUUAAUUGGCAGGUAAAUUGAGAUUCCAUAAUUCAGGAAACCUUUAAGACUUUUAAAUGCAGGCUCUCCUGUUUGUAGGCUGGAGUGAAGCUUAACGUAUAUAAGUUCUUUGAUUCCUUCUGUACAGUUCUAAGGUUGUCUUCUGUGUUGUAUUGGUUGGAAUAUUAAUACAUUACCCGUGGAAUUCACAUAUGGUCAUUGCCCAGUAGUGACAAAAAUGCCUCAAUUAACGUGACUAAAUUCUGUUAUUUAAAUCAUAAAAAUAAGUAUUUUCUUUAUUAUCUUCAGAAAAAAUUCUAUGCUUUAACUGACACCUUACGUCUGAAUUUUAAAAAAGCAAGUAUUUUUACUGCACAGUGAUAGCAUACUGUUUAACUUCAGGUUUACCAUAAAAAUAAUUUUAGCUGUUCUUUACCACCACAUUGUUUCCUAGAAGUAGCUAAAACUGCUAUUAUUCUUUUGUGUUUUUGAGAUCGUAUUACUACCACAGAUUCUUUGAAAAAGUCUGUAUGUUCUAAUGAUUUUUGUUGGGGAAAAAGUAUGUAUUUCACGACAAAGUUCUCCAGAUAUAAUGGACAUUAACCGAACAUGAAAAAGAAUAAGAUUGUGGAAUGCUCCAAGGAAACUUGAAAACCAAGGGGGAGAGAAGGUUGUCACAUUUUCCUUGCGUGCUUUGCUUAAUUUUCACUAUAUCUUAAUUUAUUUUUCUCUGUUUCUCUUCAGUUACAAUAAGUCACUUUAUGAUCAAAAGAGAUACACAUCUCCUCAGGGCUUGUCUAAGAUUCAGCAUUUAGUCCUGAAAGCCAAAUUGCAUCCUGAAGCCUAAAAUCCAUGUUCGUUUGUUUUAAACAAAGUAAAGUGAGAGAUUUGGAGAGAAAGGAAAAACUGUAUUUGACAGUAGAACAACAAUAGAACUGAAGAAUAAGAUCACUCAUUUUGAGCUCCAAUGGAGUGGUAUAUUUUCUUCAUAUUGGUGAAAUAUUCAGUUAAAAUCACUUCAUUUUUAAUUCCACUGUCUUCAGAACACUUUUAUAUAUGAUACCUUGUUUUUGCUUUAAUCUAUGAGUAAGAAUUUAUACCUACCUUGUUAAUUAAAAGACAAAAAGAAUAAUAUUGAAAAGAUACUAAAGGGACCUACUUAAAUGUCUAUAGUGUGAAAUAAAUAAGCUGUUUAAUUUUUGACUCUUAAACUGAGUCUCUUUUGCCAAUUUUACUUAAUAUAUAUGUAUUUCCUACUUGUGAGGUCAUUGAAAGGAAACCUUGAACUAUGAUACAGCCAUUCAGUAAUAAAUUCUCUGCAAAGAGUGGCAAAAGAAUUCAGACUAUUAAAAUGUUGCUGUGUUUAUCAAAGUCAAAGCUACUUUUGCUUUAUGAAGCUGCCCAAAGAAAAUGCUUGGGGAAUCUUUCCAGGAUAUCGGUCUGGGCAAAGAUUUAUUGAGUAAUACCCCAUAAGCAGAGGCAACCAUAGCAAAAACAGACAAAUGGGAACACAUCAAGUUAAAAAUCUUCUGCAAAGCAAAGAAAGCAAUAAAGUAAAAAGACAACCCACAGAAUAGGAGAAAAUAUUUGCAGAUGACCCAUGUGACGAAGGAUUAAUAACCAGAAUAUAUAAGGAGCUUAAAUAACUCUAUGGGGAAAAAUCUAAUAAUCUGAUUAAAAAAUGGAGAAAGAUUUAAAUAGAUAAUUCUCAAAAGAAGACAUACAAAUGACAAACAGACAUACAAAAUGGUGCUCAACAUCAUUGAUCAUCAGAGAAAUGCAAAUAAAACUACAGCGAGGUAUCAUCUCACCCAGUUAAAAUGCCUCGUAUCCAAAAGUAAAUGCUGGUGAGGAUGUGGAGAAAUGGCAACUCUCAUAUGCCGUUGGUGGGAAUGUAAAUGAUUACAGUAACUAUGAAGAACAGUUUGGAUGUUCCUCAAAAAACUAAAAAUAGAUCUACCAUAUAAUACAGCAUUCCCACUGCUGAGGGUAUAGCAGUACCCCCCAAAAAGUAAAUCAGUAUAUUGAAGAGAUCUGGACUCCCAUGUUUUUUGCAGCACUGUUCACAAUAGCCAAGAUUUGGAAGAAACCUAAGUGUUCGUCAACAGAUGAAUGUAUAAAGAAAAUGUGGUACUUGCUAGGCAGCCACAGAAACAAAAGAGAUUUAGUCAUCUGCAAGAACAUGGGUGGAACUGGUGGUCUUUAAGUUAAGUGAAAUAAACCAGGCACAUAAAGCUAAACACCACAUGUCCUCAGUUAUUUGUGGAAUCUAAAAAUCAAAACAAUUGAACCCAUGGAGAUAGAGAGUAGGAGGUAGAGGGGAGGUGGAGAUGGUUAAUGGGUACAAAAUUAUAGUUAGAAUGACUGAAUAUUUGGGCCGGGAUUGGUGGCUUACACUGGGUAAUCCCAGCACUUUGAGGGGGCGAGGGAGGCAAAUCAUGAGGUCAGCAGUUUGAGGCCAGCCUGGCCAAUAUGGUGAAAUCUUUCUCUACUAAAAGUACAAAAAAAUUAGCCUGGUGUGGUGGCAGGCACCUGUAGAAUCACUUGAACCUGGAAGGCGGAGGUUGCAGUGAGCCAAAAUCUCACCACUGUACUUCCAGCCUGGGUGUCAGAGCAAGACUCCAUCUCAAAAAAUAAAAAAGCUUGAGGGGUUGGACACUCCAUUUUCCAUGAUGUGAUUAUUACACAGUACAAGCUUGUUUAAGAAUAUAUCAUGUACUGCAUAAGUAUAUACAUCUACUACAUAUGCACAAAAAUAAAAUUAAAAAAUAUAAAUACAAUUUAAAAACAAUUGAUGAGGUAAGGUCAGGUUAUAUAUGAUAUAAAAUCUUCUAGUGAUGGUGUCUCACGGUAUAGUUUGUACAAGUCAGGGCACCUGGUAUUUGAGAUUACCAAGCUAAAACCAUUUCAGUUUGUGGGAAGUGGCACCAAUCAAACUGAAAGCCCUCUUUUCUCUUUUUAAUUUUUUUUUCCUCAGAGCUAUCAUUUGAUAAAAGUUAUACUCAGUUUAAGAGGUGCUAGUCAUAGUUUGUUGGACUGACUUUUGCCAUUUGUAGUUCAUUCUGGCAGAGAAAUGAGUUUAAUUUGGCUUGUGUAGUAUAUUUUGAAAUAAUUUUUAAUACAAAUAUUAAAAAGUAAGUGAUAGAAGGGGAGGCCUGUUUCAUCUAGGUUUGGGAAAAUUAGACUAGUCUUCUCUUGGUAAAUGUGGAAAUUUUAACCUAAUUACAGAAUUAACACUUAAUUGGGAAGAUAAAGAUCUGGGAAAAACUGGAAAGUUGGUUUAGUGGAACAUCAAUUGCUCCUGGAGUCAAAUCACCUAAAUUUGAGUCCCACUUAUUGGCCAGUGCCCUUAGGAAUGUCAUUUAAAUUAUUUAAGUACCAGUUUCCUUAUCUAUGAAGGGAAAGGAAAAACACCUACUUAAAAGGGCAGAAGGCAAUAUUUUAAAGGCAUUUCCUAAAUUGUACAUGUAUAAAUAUAUAUAAGGUAUGUUUAUUAAGUGAAAAGGCAUUUGCAACACAUGCAAAUCCUAAAGUUAUAUCAGUAAUUUAAAUUUAAUUUUUGAGCUUAUAGCUGUAAAAGAAGUAUCUUCCUGUAUCAGCUCUAGGCAGCAACUUUCCAGGUGAUAUUUGAGCUGAAUGAGCUCAAGUUUGAACAUGAUACCUCAGGAUAGUGCUUCUUGGGUUGAUUGCGGCAAGUCUGAGUAGGUGGUUCUCAGGCAAGAACUCUUUCUUAUCUUGCAGCUUUUACCAUUAGGAGAUAGAUCAUCUGUCUUGCCCAAUGUUAACAAGAGUAUCUUCAUGUCCCUUUCUGAGCUAAACGCUGACUAUGUGAUUUAGUUUGGAUUUCAUUCUUUUAGAAAAGUGUAGCCAUUUGCUUGCUACAAUAGAACUUUUUUUCCUCCACAGCCUUUGGUGCAACAUAGUGGGUCAUGUCUAAAAAACCAAGGUGCUUGUUGUUUAAUCAUUUUUAAUUUUUUCAGGAAUAGCACUCACAGCAGGAAGAAGUGUACAUGUUUUGGAGAUUGUAGAUGUGGUACAUUUAUUCACAUGUAUUCUGAGUAGUCAAGUGUUAGUUUUUCUUUUUUUUUUUUGAGAUGGGGUUUCGCUCUUGUUACCCAGACUGGAGUGCAAUGGCGCGAUCUCGGCUCACCGCAACUUCCGCCUCCUGGGUUCAGGCAAUCCUUCUGCCUCAGCCUCCUGAGUAGCUGGGAUUACAGGCACGUGCCACCGUGCCCAGCUAAUUUUUGUAUUUUCAGUAGAGACGGGGUUUCACCUUGUUGACCAGGAUGGUCUCGAUCUCUUGACCUCGUGAUCCACCCGCCUCGGCCUCCCAAAGUGCUGGGAUUACAGGCGUGAGCCACCGCGCCCGGCCCAAGUGUUAGUUUUUCAAAACUACUGCUUAGCCUUGCUAGCUUUUGCCCUUACAUCUCGAGGAAUGAAGAGUUAAUUUGACUAGUACUGAAUUGUAUAAGAAAGCAUUCUAAAAAUCCACAAGUACCCCUUAAUAUAUUUGGUUCAAUUUAAAAUCUGUUUACUCAUUCAGAUAUAUGUGAGUAAUUUUAAUUAUGCAUUGUUUUUUAAGAAAUAUCUUAGACUGAUCAUUUUACAAUUAAUUAUUUUAAAAACUGUAUUUUUCCAGAGCAUUGUCUCCAACUCAGGAAUUACAAGUCUUUUUGCAGGAUUUGAGGGUUUACUACCAAGUCAUAUAACUUUAUAAUAAUUAGUAAUUAGUUAAUAAAUUUUCUUUUUUGUGUUUGAAUUCUUAUAAUGAGAUUAGAGUUAUAAAGUGAAGCUUAUUUUAUUUUACUUAUUUAUAUGAGGAAGCUCGAUGACUGAAUAUAAAGAAAUUAUUAUUGUCAGACUUUUAAAUGUGAUUUACAAGCAGCUGGGCUUUGACCAUUGAUGGCCUAAUUGAUUUUGAGAAUUAUCAGACAUUUAAUAUAUGAAUCUUUGCAAGUGGGGAAAUGCUUUAUUAUUUUAUAACAGUAUGACCUACCUUUUGCCAUUGGUUUAAUAGUAAUGACCAUUUUGUAAUUAAAAUGAUAAUAAUCAACAGGGGGAAAGGUAUUGUGUUCAUUAUUCAAACAGAAGAGAUUUGUAAUAUUGGAAGCAGAUGGUGCCAGGGGGAGUGACUUACAGACACUUAAAGCUGCAAUAAAUUAUAGUGCCCCCUCCCAGCAUUUUUUUCUCUAUAGCAGGGUUUUUUCCUAUAGAAAAAGAAAUGAGAAUAUCUUACAAUUUUAUGUGAUUUGGCUUUAGAAGUCUUCUCAAAGAUAAAAGAUAAUGAGUUUAAAAUACUUAAAAAAGAGCAGGGAAAGCCAUUAUAUUUAUGUGGAAUUUUCUAUUUUUGGUACAGGUGGAACAUCUUUGAAGGUUUGCCAUUAAAAAAAAAAAAUCCCAGGGGAAAAGUAGGUACAGUAGCCAGUAUCAUGACAAGCGACCUCUACUGUUUCAAAGUGAUCAGUGGGACAUUAUAAAAGGAAAUGAUCACAAGCUCGGAAUGUAGUCAUGUUCUUGUGGUGUGAAACAAGAAAUGGGGAACUGACAAGGGAAGGAACUGGAGCAUUACUGUUAAAGCCUUAGUGUUUAACCUCGAAAGUCUUGUAGAGACAUUUCCUGUUCAGUUCAGCCAUUCACUCAUUUAACAAAUAUUUACUGAGCAUGUACAAUUUGCCAUACACUAUUAUAGGUGAGGACAACAGUAGUGUGAAACCAGUUUGUACUCUCAUGGAGUUCCUGUUCUAGAAGGGAAGAUAGACAAUGAAUUAUGAGGUCAGAUGGUGAUAGGUGCUUGGAAGAAAACCAAACUGAGGUCAGGGGUGAGUCUAAUCAGAAAGGCCUUCCCUUCAUUUAUUCAUUUGUUUAUGUAUCUGUUCAUUUAUUUGUUUAAUGAAAUAAUUCUUGACCUUAAACAAGACAGUUUAAUUUCAGCUUUCAUGAGUCAUGUAAGUGAGUUGUAUGAACUCAGAACUAAUUUUGUCAUGCAAAAAAAAAGUUAAACAAAUAAAGUUAAGUUUCCUGGCUGGCUCACAGAAUCUCCUAGAACCAAUGUUAAAAAUUUCACUGUGGUACUCCACUCUAUUCUUAGGAGAUCAGAACUGAGGCAAAUGAGGGAAAAUGUAGAGAGGAGGUUUUUGCUGUAUAGCUAGUAGUCAUCUUGUAGGCAGAUUUUGAAAUAAGCUAGUUUGUUUUCACAUUCUUCUAUCAGAUUUUAACCACCUUAGACUUUCCUUAUUUCCCCUCACUGCCCUUUUCAGUCCUCCUUCCUAUUCCCUCAGCCUGUUUCACUAUUAGGAAGUGCUUUGUGGCAUUCUAUUAUUUUCUUUGAAGGGAGCAGUUUGAUUAAACAACUUCUAAGUGUAUGAAUGAUGCAUAAUGUGAGCAUUAACCCUAACCUGAACAAAGGUAUUUGCAUUUUCUGAAGAGGACACUUGAAUCACUAAUUGCUGGGGUUUUGAGCUAUGCGGAAAAUCAAUCCUCAGAGAGUGUAGAGGACCUGCCGUGAGGUCCUGCAGGAGGUCAUUAGGUCUGUCAGGAAGGCCAACAAUUCCUUUUUGUCUCCUGCCCAGGUAUGCAGCUUUGCUUUUUACCUUUUUCUCUCCUUCUUAUGAAACAACUAUUUUUUUUUCCUAUGACUGCUUUCAUGCAUUUUUAUUUUCUGCCUUUUAUAAGCUGGGUGUAUGCAAAUGAGGGUAGUGUGGAUAGGGUCAUGCUCCUGAGGCCCGUAUUCUGGCCUGCCAGCAUGUGGAGCCAGUAACAGUGACAAUAACAAUGAUAAUAUAAUGACUGUUUUCUGACUACCUAAAUAUGCUAGAUAUUUCACAUACAUUCAUAAAAUCAUUUAGUCUUUAUUAUAGUUUUGAAGGGUGUACGAGAAGACCAUUUAUAGAUAAAGAAGGCAAGGAUGCUAAGAGGUUAAGGUGUCUGCCCCAGGUUGCACAGCUAGUAAAUGGGGUUGGGUUUGAUCACACUUGGGUUUGUUUGAUCCUGAAGUCUCUUUUUUUUCUCCCUGCUAUUAUCCCAGAAAUAAGUGACUGGCGAUUUCAGAGGAACUGUUCCCUUGUUAGACUUGAGCUAUGUUAACUCAGGAUCACCAAGUGACUCUUGAUGUUCUGUAUGCCGAGGCAAAUUGAUUAGGCUACAGAGAAGAAAGACUUGCAGCAGGAGUUCCAGUGGAGUGAUUUUUCUCAUGUUAGCUUACCAGUCUCAGAGAUGUGUUCAGGAGUCUGUUCCUAUUUCAGAUAUCCCAAACUUCUUUUCUCUCUUUUUUUAAUUAUAUUUAAGUUCUGAGGUAUGUGUGCAGAUCAUGCAGGAUUGUUACAUAGAUAUACACAUGCCAUGGUGGUUUGCUGCAUCCAUCCCCCUGUGAUCUACAUUAGGUAUUUCUCCUAAUGUUAUCCCUCUUCAAUCCCCCCACCCAGGCCCCAGUGUGUGAUGUUACCCUCCCUGUGUUCAUGUGUUCUCAUUGUUCGACACCCGCUUAUGAAUGAGAAUAUGUGGUGUUUGGUUUUCUGUUCUUGUGCCACUUUGCUGAGAAUGAUGUUUUUCAGCUUCAUCCAUGUCCCUGCAAAGGACAUGAACUCAUCCCUUUUUUAUGGCUGCACAGUAUUCCAUGGUGUACAUGUGCCACAUUUUCUUUAUCCAGUCUAUCAUUGAUGGGUAUUUGGGUUGGUUCCAAGUCUUUGCUAUUGUUAAACAGUGCUGCAAUGAACAUACAUAUGCAUGUGUCUUUAUAAUAGAAUGAUUUAUAAUCCUUUGGCAGAUACCCCAAAUUUCUACAGGCCUUCACGACCCAUAGUAUUGGACUCUUUCCUGGACUUGAUAGUAUCUAGGCUCCUUCUCUCUUUAGUAUUUAGAUAAAUACAUGAACAGUCAAUUAGUGCACUGAGCUGACAAUACAAUGUUGGUUCCCCUUGUGGUAUUAACAGAGUUUAUUGUUGCAGAUUUUACUGACAGGUAAAACUGUCACUAAAAUUUGUCUCUUUGUAUUUCCUUCUCCAUGGAGACACUUUCAUGGAUUGUUUACUUUUAUCCCCUAUAAAAGACACCUAGUGAGAAAUCUGUGGUUUUAGUGUCUUUUUUCUUCUGUUGGGGACCAUGACAAACCUUUGGUUGUGUUUGUACAACCAGUUAUUCAAGUAUUUCAACAAUUGGCUGUAUUAAUUUUUGUGAGGGCAUUGGGGAAUUGGCAGUGGUGCCCAGUAUUUGGAAUAUUGCUGUAUUUAGAAUAUAGAAUGAUAUGCUUAUCUCAAGUGAAAAACUCCUUGUAGACUUGGCAAUAGAGUUUGCUUUUGACUAUAUAGGCUGGUACCUACUUUUUGGUUUCUAGCAUUUUUCCAAUUGGCCUAUUCAACUUCCUUUAUACUCUCUGUGAUGUGAGGUAUCAGAUGCAAUAUUCUUUGUAUGGUACCAUUUUUCAUCCAGAUGCAUAUAUCCUAGUGAAACCAAACUGAAGGAAGCGACUGACUCUAUUAUGAUGGAUUUGUGUGCAUGUAUUAGUCUGUUUUUAUCCUGUUAAUAAAUACAUAACCCAAGACGGGUCAAUUUACAAGAAAGAGGCUUAAUGGACUUACAGUUCCACAUGGUUGUGGAAGCCUCACAAUAAUGGUGGAAAGCAAGAAGUAGCAAGUCAUGUCUUACAUAGAUGGCAGCAGGCAAACAGUGAGAACCUGUGCAGGGAAAGUCCCACUUUUAAAACCAUCAGCUCUCAUGAGAUCCCCUCACUAUCACGAGAACAGCAUGGGAAAGACCGGCCCUCAUGAUUCAACCAUCUCCCACCAAGUCCUUCUCACAAUAUGUGGGAAUUAUGGGAGCUACAAGAUGAGAGUUGGGUGAGGACUCUGAGCCAAGCCAUGUCAUUCCACUCCUGGCUCUUGCCAAAUCUCACGUCUUCAAAUUUCAAAACCAAUCAUGCCUUCCCAACAGUCCCCCAGAGUCUUUACUAAUUUCAGCAUUAACUUAUAAUCCACAGUCCAAAGUCUCAUCUGAGAUAAGGCAAGUCCCUUCCACCUAUGAUCCUGUAAAAUCAAAAGUUAGUUACUUCCUAGAUACAAUGAGGGCACAGGCAUUGGGGAAAUACAGCUGUUCCACAUGGGAGAAAUUGGCCAAAACAAAGGGGCUAAGGGCUUCAUGCAAGUCUGCAAUCCAGCUAGGCUAUCAAAUCUUAAAGCUCUAGAAUGAUCUUUUUUGACUCCAGGUCUCAGAUCCAGGUUAUGCUAAUAGAAGAUAUGGGUUCCCAUGAUCUUGUGCAGCUCUGCUUCUGUGGUUUUGCAGGGUACAGCUUCUCUCCUGGCUGUUUUCACAGGUUGACAUUGAGUGUCUGUGGCUUUUCCAGAUGCACAGUGCAAGCUGUCAGUGGAUUUACCUUUCUGUGGUCUGGAGUAUGGUGUGGCCUUCUUCUCAUAGCUCCACUCAGUGGUGUCCCAGUAGGGACUCUGUGGGGGCUCUAACCCCACAUUUCCCUUCCAUGCUGCCCUACCAGAGUUUCUGCAUGAGGGCCCUACCCCAAAGCAAACUUCUGCCUGGGCAUCCAGGAGUUUUCAUACAUACUCUGAAAUCUAGGUGGAGGUUCCCCAGCCGCAAUUCUUCUGUGCAUUCACAGGCUAAACACUGUGUGGAAGCUGCCAAGAGUUGGGGCUUCCAACCUCUGAAGCAAUGGUCUGAGCCCUGUGUUGGCCUUUCAGCCAUGGCUGGAGCUGCUGGGAUGCAGGGCACUAAGUCCCUCUGCUGUACACAGCAUGGAGACCCUUGGCCCCACCCAUGAAACCACUUUUUCCUCCUAAGCCUCUGAGCCUGUGAUGGGAGGGGCUGCUGUGAAGACCUCUAACAUGGUCUGGAGACUUUCCUCAUUGUCAUGGGGAUUAACAUUUGGCUACUCAUUAUUUGUGCAAAUUUAUGCAGCCAGUUUGAAUUUCUUUUCAGAAAAUGGGAUUUUUUUUUUUGCAUUGUGAAGAGGCAAAUUUUCUGAACUUUAUGCUUUUUUUUUUUUUUUAAAUAACUGAGUGUGUUUAACAGAGCUCAAAUCUCCUCUUGAAUGCUUUGCUGCUUAGAAAUUUCCUCUGCCAGAUACUUAUAUCAUCACCCUCAAGUUCAAAGUUCCACACAUCUCUAGGGCAGGGGUAAAAUGCCACCAUCCUCUUUACUAAAACAUAACAAGAGUCACUAUUGUUCCAGUUCCCAACAAGUUUCUCAUCUCCAUCUGAGACGACCUCAACCUUGAUAUUUCAUUAUUCAUAUUGCUAUCAGGCUUUUCAUCAAAGCCAUUCAACAAGUCUCUAGGAAGUUCUAAACUUUUCCACAUUUUCCUGACUCUGAGCCCUCCAAACUGUUCCAACCUCUGUCUGUUAUCCAGUUACAAUGUUGCCUGCACAUUUUUUGGUAUGUUUUCAGCAGCACCCGACUCCAAUUUUCUGUAUUAGUCUGUUAUCAUGCUACUGAUAAAAACAUACCUGAGACUGGGCAAUUUACAAAAGAUAAGACUUUAAUGGACUUACAGUUUUACAUGGCUGUGGAGAUCUCACAAUCAUUGUGGAAAGCAAAGAGGAGCAAGUUACACCUUACAUUGAUGGCAGAAGGAAGAGAGAGCUUGUGCAGGGAAACUCCUGUUUUAAAACCAUUAGAUUUUGUGAGACCCAUCUACCAUCAUGAGAGCAGCAUUGGAAAGACCUGCCCCCAUGAUUCAGCCAUCUCCCACCGGGUCCCUCCCUCAACACAUGGGAAUUAUGGGAGCUAUAAGAUGAGAGUUGGGUGGGGACAUAGAGCCAAGUCAUAUCAAUGCAGUUCAUGAUAUAUCCUCUAUUUUCCAGUUGAAUCCUUCUACAAGUGUAAUUUUGUACAAGAAAUUUUAUCACGGAUAAAUGACGUAUAAUACAGUGGAAAGUGCUUCAGUGUAGGAAUGUAGAUGGUUCAUGCAUGAUUUCAUCUCUGCCCUGUCUAGAAAUAUAAGCUUUGAUAAGUUUGUUUAUUUCACGGGCCUUGGUUUCCUAGUUUAUAAAUUAAAGCUAAAGUGAUCUUGUCUGCCACUGUGUAGAAUCAUAAACUUUGAUAAGUUUAUUUUCUGGGCUUUAGUUUCCCAGUUUAUAAAAUAAAGCUACAAUUAGGAUAGUCUUUAUUUAUUUAUUUAUUUUUUCUCUGGGAUACAUUUAUUUAUUUUUUUUUAAAUUUUUUAUUGGAUUUUAGGUUUUGGGGUACAUGAGCAGAGGAUGUAACACAGUUGCGUAGGAACACACAUGGCAGUGUGCUUUUCUUUCCUUCUCCCCUUCACCCACAUUUGGCAUUUCUCCCCAGGCUAUCCCUCCCCACCUCCCCCUCCCACUGGCCCUCCCCUUUUCCCCCCAAUAGACCCCAGUGUUUAGUACUCCCCUUUCUGUGUCCAUGUGUUCUCAUUUUUCAUCACCCACCUAUGAGUGAGAAUAUGCGGUGUUUGAUUUUCUGUUCUUGUGUCAGUUUGCUGAGGAUGACGUUCUCCAGAUUCAUCCAUGUCCCUACAAACGACACGAACUCAUCAUUUCUGAUUGCUGCAUAAUAUUCCAUGGUGUAUAUGUGCCACAUUUUUCCAAUCCAGUCUAUUAUCAAUGGGCAUUUGGGUUGAUUCCAGGUCUUUACUAUUGUAAACAGUGCUGCAAUGAACAUUCGUGUACAUGUGUCCUUAUAGUAGAACGAUUUAUAGUCUUUUGGAUAUAUACCCAGUAAUGGCAUUGCUGGG